CUUAAAGAAAGAAUUUUCUGAUGAAAUACCAGUAAGAACAGAUGGUGGGUACGUAGCUCAGCAAUAAAUAAGAUUAAUAUAUUCAGAGCUCUUGAGAUUCUGAAGACAGGGGAAGAAAGUUUAGCCUGUCAAGAGGGAGCAACCACUGCCUACCUGAACCCAGCUUGACUUGGGCUUUGGAAAAAACCCAUUUCUGAUCAACAUGCCUAGAAAAUUGAGCUUCACCUGUGUUUGAAAUUCUUUGUUCACGUACGGUUUCUGCCUGUGUUUCAAGAACAUCCACUUGAGACCUUUCGGGGGACCCGCAGGUGUUGGGUGGCACCAGUCAGGCUGAUGGUAAAAUGUGAGUUAAAGAUCUUGAAGAAAACUGAAAGUUCUCACUUGAUAAAAUUGCAGUGCAUUUCUAGAAAUUUCUGUUGGAAGGUAAAAGUUAAACACCGAAGAGAGUAACAUGUGAAGCGAAUUAUCUUUUAGGAAUAAUCACUAUUGGGUAUUUGAUUAGAACCAAGAAAUCAUAAACUUGGUUUGCACUUUGGAAGUGGGUAUCUUAAAAAUUCUGUGAUUUUCCUGUCAUUUUUUUUCUAUCAAACAUCUUGGUUAGCUGAAACUUAUUAAUCCAUAAAUAAUAUAAGUUUUAGUCAUUUUUUUCUGUUAGAAAUAUAGCAUCACUUGAUUUUAAAUUAGGGGUAAUUUUUU
rnacentral:lncRNA from 1 species